rnacentral:rRNA from 1 species
UAGCCUUGACAUAUUAGAGAACUCCGUAGAGAUACAGAGGUGCCUUAGGGAGCUUUAUUAC